rnacentral:misc_RNA from 1 species
GAAAUGCGAUAAGUAAUGUGAAUUGCAGAAUUCAGUGAAUCAUCGAAUCUUUGAACGCACCUUGCGCUCCUUGGUAUUCCUUGGAGCAUGCCUGUUUGAGUAUCAUGAAAUCUUCAAAGUAAAUCUUUUGUUAACUCAAUUGGUUUCUACUUUGGUAUUGGAGGUCUUUGCAGCUUCACACCUGCUCCUCUUUGUUCAUUAGCUGGUCUCAGUGUUAUGCUUGGUUCCACUCGGCGUGAUAAGUUAUCUAUCGCUGAGGACACUGUAAAAGGUGGCCAAGGUAAAUGCAGAUGAACCGCUUCUAAUAGUCCAUUGACUUGGACAAUACUUUUAUGAUCUGAUCUCAAAUCAGGUAGGACUACCCGCUGAACUUAAGC